rnacentral:rRNA from 1 species
CCUACGGGAGGCAGCAGUGGGGAAUAUUGGGCAAUGGGCGCAAGCCUGACCCAGCCACGCCGCGUGAAGGAAGAAGGCUUUCGGGUUGUAAACUUCUUUUGUCAGGGACGAAGCCAGUGACGGUACCUGACGAAUAAGCCACGGCUAACUACGUGCCAGCAGCCGCGGUAAUACGUAGGUCGCAAGCGUUAUCCGGAUUUACUGGGUGUAAAGGGUGUGUAGGUGGGAAGGCAAGUCAGAGGUGAAAACCACGGGCUCAACCUGUGGCCUGCAUUUGAAACUGUAGUUCUUGAGUACUGGUGAGGCAGACGGAAUUCCUGGUGUAGCGGUGAAAUGCGUAGAUAUUAGGAGGAACACCAGUGGCGAAGGCGGUCUGCUAGACAGCAACUGACGCUGAGGCGCGAAAGCGUGGGGAGCAAACAGGAUUAGAUACCCGUGUAGUC